UUAGGGAUGAGACAUCAGACACCAGAUGUAUUUUUGGUUUCUUGCAUUUGCUUAGGACAGAUUUCGGGAUUUUAGCCUCUAUCAGUUGGAUUGUUCACGCACAUAGUCACUCUUUCAUGUAUCUAUUUCUACAUGGGUGGAUCUUAAUCUCAAAUAUCCCCAGCUCUGGAAAACCUGACCUUCUUCAUCUCCCGUUCAGAGCUAUCUUUCUUUGAAGUGUCAGAUUUGAAGCUGGAUGAUCAGGAGGCAGACAAAACAUCGCUGGUUCCUGAGAGGGACCAGGAUGGAAUGUGGGAAUCAAGAACAGAGAAGAAACUCAGGAAAACUCGCCACCAUGGCCGGAAAAAGGUAAUCUCGCACCAUAAAAAGAGGAGACAGUUUCUCAAAAUGUUGUAUGAAACAAUGGAAGAAGUGAAGAGCUGUGAAGAACUUGUUUCCAAUAUGCUACAUGCUCUGAAAUGACCAC